rnacentral:rRNA from 1 species
UACGUAGGGCGCAAGCGUUUAUCCGGAAUUAUUGGGCGUAAAGAGCUCGUAGGCGGUUUGUCGCGUCUGCCGUGAAAGUCCGGGGCUCAACUCCGGAUCUGCGGUGGGUACGGGCAGACUAGAGUGAUGUAGGGGAGACUGGAAUUCCUGGUGUAGCGGUGAAAUGCGUAGAUAUCGUUUGGAACGCCAAUGGUGAAAACAGGUCGCUGGGGUUGUGCUGACGCUGAGACACGAAAGCCAGGGGAGCGAACGGG